rnacentral:rRNA from 1 species
UACGUAGGCAGCGAGCGUUGUUCGGAAUUACUGGGCGUAAAGAGUGUGUAGGCGGUGCUAUAAGUUCGGUGUGAAAUCUCCCGGCUCAACUGGGAGGGUGCGCCGAAAACUGUAGUGCUCGAACGUGGGAGAGGAAAGCGGAAUUCCUGGUGUAGCGGUGAAAUGCGUAGAUAUCGGGAGGAACACCGGUGGCGAAGGCGGCCCCCUGGUUGGAUACUGACGCUGAGACGCGAAAGCGUGGGGAGCAAACAGG